UUAACUCAAAUUUGUUUGCAGUUGGAACAGCGCCCCUAGCGGCAAACGUAGGCAAACGUUUCAACUGCAUACAAAUUUGAGUUA
rnacentral:pre_miRNA from 1 species